rnacentral:tRNA from 1 species
AUCAGAAUGACUGAAAAUAAGUGAUAAACUGUAAAUUUAUUUAUGGGUAAAGCCCUUCUGAUU